AUGUGUCCCUUCUGCAUCACUGGGACAAUCCCAGGCACCUCUGCAUCAGCUCCCGUGCCGAGCCUGCAUCCCAGGUCCAAAGGAAGACCCAUCUCAGAUUGAGAUGCAUUCCCACGCACAGAGCUGCAUCCCCUGGGAUGCUCCGGUCAGCCCGCUGGUCCCCAGGUAAAUCUGCUCACUACACCGACACGGAGGUACACAGAAAACACUGCUUUAUUGACUGCAUUUGCCAACACAUUGAGGAAUGCAAAGGGAUUCUUUCAUAAGCAAUGGGCCAUGGUCCCAAUGUGUAUUAAAGCAUACACUGUAUCUAAACAGGAUGAAAAUAAUGGCAGACAGAGCUAUUCCAAGGCAACACAAAUAGCAUGCAUAAUACAGUCUCACACAGAACGAGUUUGAGAACAUUAUAUUGCUUUAAGGAUUAACUAACAUGGAAAAUGUACAAAAAGGAGAAAUAGGUUUUUGCAUUAAUGAAAAAUACAUUUUUUCUCUACAAAGGAAUUUCUAAUACAAGAAAAUAAAUAUUGCAACAUAAGCCAAAAAUAAUUUAAAAU